rnacentral:rRNA from 1 species
UGAGUGCGAGCUGCUACGGCAGCGAAGUUGGUGAUGUCAUGCUUCCAAGAAAAGCCCUAUACCCGUUAAGGCAUCAUGGCCUGUACCCGAAACCGACACAGGUGGGGUGGUAGAGAAUACCGAGGGGCGCGAGGUAACUCUCUCUAAGGAACUCGGCAAAAUGGCCCCGUAACUUCGGGAGAAGGGGUGCCACCGCAAGGUGGUCGCAGUGAAGAGGCCCAGGCGACUGUUUACCAAAAACACAGGUCUCCGCUAAGUCGCAAGACGAUGUAUGGGGGCUGACGCCUGCCCAGUGCCGGAAGGUUAAGGAAGCUGGUCAGCGCAAGCGAAGCUAGCGACUGAAGCCCCGGUGAACGGCGGCCGUAACGAUAACGGUCCUAAGGUAGCGAAAUUCCUUGUCGGGUAAGUUCCGACCCGCACGAAAGGCGUAACGAUCUGGGCGCUGUCUCGGAGAGAGGCUCGGCGAAAUAGAAUUGUCUGUGAAGAUGCGGACUACGUGCACCCGGACAGAAAGACCCUAUGAAGCUUUACUGUAGCUUGGUAUUGUGCCCGGGCUCGCAAUGCGCAGGAUAGGUGGGAGGCUUUGAUCAUCGGCUUGCGGGUCGAUGUGAGCCAACGGUGAGAUACCACUCUUUGCGAGCUAGGGUUCUAACGGCCACCCGUCAUCCGGGGGCCGGACAGUACCUGGUGGGCAGUUUGACUGGGGCGGUCGCCUCCUAAAAGGUAACGGAGGCGCGCAAAGGUUUGCUCAGGCUGGUUGGAAAUCAGCCGACGAGUGUAAAAGCAGAAGCAAGCUUGACUGUGAGACCAACAAGUCGAACAGGGAGGAAACUCGGCUUUAGUGAUCCGACGGUUCUGGGUGGAAGGGCCGUCGCUCAACGGAUAAAAGUUACUCUAAGGAUAACAGGCUGAUCUCCCCCAAGAGUUCACAUCGACGGGGAGGUUUGGCACCUCGAUGUCGGCUCAUCGCAACCUGGGGCUGAAGUCGGUCCCAAGGGUUGGGCUGUUCGCCCAUUAAAGCGGUACGCGAGCUGGGUUCAGAACGUCGUGAGACAGUUCGGUCCAUAUCCGGUGCACGCGCAGGAAUAUUGAGAGGAUUUCUCCCUAGUACGAGAGGACCGGGAGGAACGCACCUCUGGUGUACCAGUUAUCGUGCCAACGGUAAACGCUGGGUAGCCAUGUGCGGAGUGGAUAACCGCUGAAAGCAUCUAAGUGGGAAGCCCACCUCAAGAUGAGUAUUCCCAUGGCGUAAGCCAGUAAGGUCACGGGAAGAACACCCGUUGAUAGGCUCUAUGUGGAAGCGCAGUAAUGCGUGAAGCAGAGGAGUACUAAUAGACCGAGGGCUUGACCU